UUUUUUUUCUGUUUUUCCUUAUCUUUUCAGUCGUAUCCAUGAAACGCGUCCCUGGUGUCUCCACUCCUUGAUUCCGAACUACUGGAAUCCUGGGGGCAACCGUGUGCUUUUUAGACUGGACAGGCUCUUUUAUCUGUUUUGCAUCCGCUUUUAAACUCGAGGUCGCCGUUUUCCUGAGGAGUGAAUAAUAGUCCCCGGCACGCCGGGCGGCGGCAGCAAUAGGCGGACGCGCUCGUCCUCCGGUUCUGCGGGGCUACGGCCGCCUCGGGGACCGGCGCCGGGAGGAGCCGUCCCCCCGCUCCGGGCACCGGCACCUCCGGGCCAGGAGCCCCGAGCGCGGCGGGCCGGGCGGGCUGGACGCGGGGGCUGCGGGCGGCUCCCGGAGCUGCCCCGGUGCGGCCGCUGCCGGCGGGAGCUCCGCAGCAGAGCGGGCCCGGCGGCUCUCGGCGGCAGCCUCUGGUCCGGCACUCGCAGGGUUGAGCUCUGGCCAAGGGACUGCGGGAUGGGGCACGGGGCGGUGGGAAACCAGCUCGGGGAUCUUUGCUGCCAGGAGCAGCGUGCAGCAGCUGCGUGUUGUUUCCAUUCUCACCGGCUUCGGUGUUGGGGAGCUUUGGAAGGCGAGGGAUUAACGGAGAGCUGAAGGCCGCAGUUGCUUGUCUUUAUUCCCGUUUUGAGAGACCGUGUUUGCCAAUUCAUUUGAGGUGUUUACACCCCUGAAGUUCUCUUAUGAAUCUUUCCUGUGUCCGACUGUAACUGUUUCAAGACAGACAAGAUAAUGUACCAAGGUCCAUGUCUUUGUAACUAUGCAGGGUGGUUAGAAGUAUUAAUCUGUUUUCUUGGAAGUUUUUGCUUUUUCCUUUCCUUGCAGGCUUUUCAGAUGUCUUUUCAGAAGAACUGCAUCUGGAGCACUAUGACAGCAAACAAUAUAUUUGGGAAAUAUAUAGAUGCUAUUGAACUGUUAGCAGAACAGUGGGAAAAUUGGUUGAUUCAGUGGAAAGCUUCAAUAGCAGUAGCAAAAACAGCUUUGGUAAGUAUUCACAAAUGGCAACAUGUCUCUGUGCCUGAUGUCAUUUUUUUAUGAAGUAAUUUACACUGAUGUUUUUU
rnacentral:lncRNA from 1 species